AGAGCUACUGGAAGUUGUAGGAAUGGGCGGUUUGGGAAAGAAUUUUAUAUACGAUAAGAGAAUUAAUUAUAUAUAUGUUAUUAUUCUCUUGAAUAAGUGUAUAAAUGUUUCUUCCCAAUGUCGCCCAUUCCGAUGAUUUCCAGAAGCUCC
rnacentral:pre_miRNA from 1 species